CUCUCCAGGUGCCCUUUGCACCCAACAGUGCGUGUGAGGAACGAACUGCUGUUUGAGCGUCCCCUGAGAUUGUGCGUAGCCCCGUGUAAAUGUAAUAGCCUCCAUGGCUUAAUUGGCUAGCAAGCGAAUUUUCCCAGAUGAAAGCAAUGUUGGGUUAGGGGACGACGGUGCAGCCACCCAGCCUUUACCAGCAGCGUGCUGCAGACGAAGGCAGUCAAGGUGUGGAGGUGAUCACGCAGGCGCAGGUCAGUUGCCGUGAUGCUCCUUGAGUCAAUGAGCUCUUUGGUCUGCUCUUCUGCUCAAGCAGAAAAUGAUCUGCGCUUCACCCUUGAGAAGCUGACAAGAACCACAGGCUUCUUCAGGCUCUAGCCUGAUUUUCUGGCUCAUAAGGCCAAAGGGAGCUGGAAAGGUCCCCACGGCAGGACUCAUGGUGGAGAGAGAAUGAUCUAGAGGAUUCAGGCCUCUGCACACUGUGUCUGGGUCCCUCCUUAAAGAAUGAUAAAGACAAGUAAAGAGCUUGAAGCAGCCUGGAGUCCAGCCAGAAACCUUUAACUGAGCUUUAAAGGAGAUGGUCACAACACUUUUCAGAAUACUGGCAAAGGCCUCCUGUGGCCAAGUUUGUCCUGGGAUGAGCAAAAUUUAAUGUUAACCUGCUGUAUCUUUGCUUUUAAUAUAUCUGCUUGCCCAUCACAAUGAUAUUAUGGUUAAUUUCACCAAUUUGGUAACCUGCCUCUUGGGAAGUACGAAAGUAAGCAAGGGCCAGGUAUGGUGACUCACGCCUGUAAUCCCAGUACUUUGGGUGGCUGAGGUGGGUGGAUUGCUUGAGCCCAGGAGUUCAAGACCAACCUGGGCACCAUGACAAAACCCCGUCUCUACAAAAUAUACAAAAAUUAACCAGGAGUGGCAGUGCAUGGCUGUAAUCCCAGCUACUCGGAGGCUGAGGUGGGAGAAUCUCUUGAGCCUGGGAGGCAGAGGUUGCAGUGAGCUGAGAUCACACCACUGCAUUCCAGCCUGGGCAAUGAAGUGAGACCCUGUCUCAAAAAAAAAAAAAAAAAAAAAAAAAGAGAAAG
rnacentral:lncRNA from 1 species